rnacentral:rRNA from 1 species
GGUGAACGCUGGCGGCGUGCUUAAGACAUGCAAGUCGAACGGCAGUCUUCGGACUGUAGUGGCGCACGGGUGAGUAACGCGUAACUGACCUACCCCAAAGUCGCGGAUAACGAUUCGAAAGAAUCGCUAAUACGUGAUGUGGUGUUCGACUGUGUUCUGCCAGUAAAGAUUGAUUGCUUUGGGAUGGGGUUGCGUUCCAUCAGCUAGUUGGUGGGGUAAAGGCCCACCAAGGCGGCGACGGAUAGCCGGCCUGAGAGGGUGGCCGGCCACAGGGGCACUGAGACACGGGUCCCACUCCUACGGGAGGCAGCAGUUAGGAAUCUUCCACAAUGGGCGAAAGCCUGAUGGAGCGACGCCACGUGAGGGAUGAAGGUCUUCGGAUCGUAAACCUCUGAAUCAGGGACGAAAGACACUUCGGUGGGAUGACGGUACCUGAGUAAUAGCACCGGCUAACUCCGUGCCAGCAGCCGCCGCCGUAA